rnacentral:rRNA from 1 species
AGUCGAGCGGUAGAGAGAAGCUUGCUUCUCUUGAGAGCGGCGGACGGGUGAGUAAUGCCUAGGAAUCUGCCUGGUAGUGGGGGAUAACGCUCGGAAACGGACGCUAAUACCGCAUACGUCCUACGGGAGAAAGCAGGGGACCUUCGGGCCUUGCGCUAUCAGAUGAGCCUAGGUCGGAUUAGCUAGUUGGUGAGGUAAUGGCUCACCAAGGCGACGAUCCGUAACUGGUCUGAGAGGAUGAUCAGUCACACUGGAACUGAGACACGGUCCAGACUCCUACGGGAGGCAGCAGUGGGGAAUAUUGGACAAUGGGCGAAAGCCUGAUCCAGCCAUGCCGCGUGUGUGAAGAAGGUCUUCGGAUUGUAAAGCACUUUAAGUUGGGAGGAAGGGCAUUAACCUAAUACGUUGGUGUCUUGACGUUACCGACAGAAUAAGCACCGGCUAACUCUGUGCCAGCAGCCGCGGUAAUACAGAGGGUGCAAGCGUUAAUCGGAAUUACUGGGCGUAAAGCGCGCGUAGGUGGUUC